rnacentral:misc_RNA from 1 species
GAUGAAGAACGUAGCGAAAUGCGAUAAGUAAUGUGAAUUGCAGAAUUCAGUGAAUCAUUGAAUCUUUGAACGCACCUUGCACCCUUUGGCUAUUCCGAAGGGUAUGCCUGUUUGAGUAUCAUGAACACCUCAACUCUCAUGGUUUGCCAUGAUGAGCUUGGACUUUGGGGGUCUUGCUGGCCUGUGGUCAGCUCCUCUCAAAUGGAUUAGCUUGCCAGUGUUUGGUGGCAUCACAGGUGUGAUAACUAUCUACGCUUGUGGUUUUCCACCAGGUAACCUUCAGCAAUGGGGGUUCGCUGGGGCUCAUAAAUGUCUCUCCUCAGCGAGGACAGCUCUUUGAACGUUUGAUCUCAAAUCAGGUAGGACUACCCGCUGAACUUAAGCAUAUCAAUAAGCGGAGGA